rnacentral:lncRNA from 1 species
UUGCCACUUGUUGCUGCUUGUGUGUUUUGCUUUUGGCAUCUGCUGUGGGAUUUGCCAGGCUUCAAUUUCUCUAGACCCAGAAUUGAAACGCUGGUGGGUUUGUUUGUGUUUUGUCAGAGCUGAGCCAAAGCAAAGUAGUCGCCAUGGACCUGAUGAGAUUGACGAGGGAUAGCCUGUUGGAGUUGUGUUGGGAGCUCGACCUGGAUUUUAAUGAUGAUAGGC